AUGAUGCUCGACGUCAGCAGGAGCAUGGUUGGCCACAAGAUUGCGCUGCUUAAGCAGGCCAUGGGUUUUGUCGUCGACAAGCUGAUCCUCGUGUCUUUCUCGGGCACCGAGCGUCGCCUCACCUACCUCACGGGCUUGUCUGGUGCCGGGAAGGCCUCGACAGAGCGCACCGUGGGGUCCCUGGUCGCCGGUGGCGGGACGAACAUCAAAGAGGGUCUCCGCGAGACCGCGAAGGUGAUCGACGGUCGCCGCUACAGGAACGCCGUUACCGGCGUCAUCCUACUCUCCGACGGCCAAGACAACCACACACCGAGUUACAACCACGAAGUGGCGACCGACUACAGCGUACUCAUGCCACCUUCCCUGAUCCGCACGGGCGACGGUUCCCCGCCGCCGAUCCAUGGGUUUAUAGCCCUUGUGCGACGUUUUUGA
rnacentral:rRNA from 1 species